GACGAACGCUGGCGGCGUGCCUUAAUACAUGCAAGUAGAACGCUGAAGCUUGGUGCUUGCACCGAGCGGAUGAGUUGCGAACGGGUGAGUAACGCGUAGGUAACCUGCCUGGUAGCGGGGGAUAACUAUUGGAAACGAUAGCUAAUACCGCAUAAUAGUAGAUGUUGCAUGACAUUUGCUUAAAAGGUGCAAUUGCAUCACUACCAGAUGGACCUGCGUUGUAUUAGCUAGUUGGUGAGGUAACGGCUCACCAAGGCGACGAUACAUAGCCGACCUGAGAGGGUGAUCGGCCACACUGGGACUGAGACACGGCCCAGACUCCUACGGGAGGCAGCAGUAGGGAAUCUUCGGCAAUGGACGGAAGUCUGACCGAGCAACGCCGCGUGAGUGAAGAAGGUUUUCGGAUCGUAAAGCUCUGUUGUAAGAGAAGAACGAGUGUGAGAGUGGAAAGUUCACACUGUGACGGUAUCUUACCAGAAAGGACGGCUA
rnacentral:rRNA from 1 species